UUUGAUCUGAAACCCAGGACGGGUGUUGGGGGCAGAGACUCUCUUGCAACCCAGGAACCAAUGGACAAUGGCAGUGCAUCCUGAGUUAACUCCCGGAUCCUGAGGGUCUCUGGCCACCCUCCCAGUCUUUUCUUUCACUUCAAUUUUCUAGUGAUUUGCAUGAGGAGGACAACUGACUUGAAGGGGACUGCAAGGCUCAGGCUGGGGCUACUCCCCCAUGAGCUUUCAAAACCCUCAGGUCUCAGGAAUUUACCUCCGACCGCCUGUAACAGGUAUUUCACUCCCUAACCCUUGCUCCUUCUUCCUCCUUCUUCUUUCUCUCUCUCUCUCUGUCUCCUCUCUCUCUCUCUCUCUCUCUUGCUCUCUCGCUCUCUUGCUCUCUCUCUCUCUCUUCCUUGUGUGGCUCCAGUCUGGGAGGCCCCUUGCUGAUUCCAACCGGAACAUCCAACAUCGGACACUAAUUCAGCUGACUGGAGGAAAUCUCUUCACUGCUGGUGCUGACAACAGAAGACUGAAAGUGACCGGGAUCCUUCGCCUCCACGCCUAGUGAGUCCACGGAACUCAGGGUAAUUAGGACGGUGUCCGGUUCACUAAGAUAGGGAAGCUAAAGACAGACUCAGGAUGCCUGCAGCUGCAGAAAGAUGUAUUGGAACAGACACACAACUCUCCUUCCCAGAUAAGCACAACACAGAGACACAGAAGCAGUCCAAGCCUCUGAUAAACUCUCCCACCUUAAAUCUUUGAAAACUCUUAGUCUGUAAGAGAGUGUGGCUCUGACCUAACUCAAAAGGGUCAGAAGUCCCUCCCAGGUUUAAAAUAAAUCGGUUGACUGUCUAGCCA